GUAUGAGUAGCUUAAAAAAAGCUUUACACUGAAGAUGUACAGAUGAUCUAUCCUUAUGCG
rnacentral:tRNA from 1 species